rnacentral:rRNA from 1 species
UGGGGAAUAUUGCACAAUGGGGGAAACCCGUGAUGCAGCGACGCCGCGUGGAGGAAGAAGGUCUUCGGAUUGUAAACUCCUGUUGUUGGGGAAGAUAAUGACGGUACCCAACAAGGAAGUGACGGCUAACUACGUGCCAGCAGCCGCGGUAAAACGUAGGUCACAAGCGUUGUCCGGAAUUACUGGGUGUAAAGGGAGCGCAGGCGGGAAAUCAAGUUGGAUGUGAAAUGUCGGGGCUUAACCCCGGAACUGCAUCCAAAAACUGAUAUUCUUGAGUGAAGUAGAGGUAGGCGGAAUUCCGAGUGUAGCGGUGAAAUGCGCAGAUAUUCGGAGGAACACCAGUGGCGAAGGCGGCCUACUGGGCUUUAACUGACGCUGAGG